rnacentral:lncRNA from 1 species
GUCGGAUCUGGAGUCUUCCAUAACGCAACGGCAACCCCCAUUUUAUUGUUUUUUUCUUUUUUAUUAUUAUUUUUAUACGACCUCACCACACUAAACUCAUACGAUGUAUUUUUUUAGGUUAGCAUGCACAAACAGUUUUAAAAAUCUAUAGCAAAUUUUACCCUAUCUUCUAUAGUAGGCAACAGAAUAGCUAGAUAGAC